GACAGAGGGGGCAAGCGUUGCUCGGAAUCACUGGGCGUAAAGGGCGCGUAGGCGGGAUGGCAAGUCGGUCGUGAAAUCCUUCGGCUCAACCGAAGAACGUCGGCCGAUACUGCCGUUCUUGAGGGAUGCAGAGGAGAUUGGAAUUCCCGGUGUAGCGGUGAAAUGCGCAGAUAUCAGGAGGAACACCAAUUGCGAAGGCAGCUCGCUGGGACGUUACUGACGCUGAGACGCGAAAGCGUGGGGAGCAAACAGG
rnacentral:rRNA from 1 species